rnacentral:rRNA from 1 species
UACGGAGGGUGCGAGCGUUGUUCGGAAUCACUGGGCGUAAAGGGCGUGUAGGCGGUCUGCUAAGUCUGAUGUGAAAGCCCGGGGCUCACCCCCGGAAGGGCAUUGGAAACUGGCGGACUCGAGUCCCGGAGAGGAGGGUGGAAUUCCUGGUGUAGCGGUGAAGUGCGUAGAUAUCAGGAGGAACACCGGUGGCGAAGGCGGCCCUCUGGACGGUGACUGACGCUGAGACGCGAAAGCGUGGGGAGCAAACAGG